rnacentral:misc_RNA from 1 species
GAAAUGCGAUAAGUAAUGUGAAUUGCAGAAUUCAGUGAAUCAUCGAAUCUUUGAACGCACCUUGCGCUCCUUGGUAUUCCGAGGAGCAUGCCUGUUUGAGUGUCAUGGAAUUCUCACCUCUAUUUGCUUUUGUGAAUAGAGCUUGGAUUUGGAGGUUUAUUGCUGGUACUUGUGAUCGGCUCCUCUUGAAUGCAUUAGCUCUAACCUUUGCGGAUCAGCUAUCGGUGUGAUAAUUGUCUACGCCGUUGCAGUGAAGCAUAUCAAUGGGCUCGGCUUCCAAUCGUCCUUUACUGGACAAUGACUUUGACCUUUGACCUCAAAUCAGGUAGGAUUACCCGCUGAACUUAAGC